CUGGAAGCGCGAAUCUGGUACCGGGACUUGGGGAGCGAGGGAUGCAACAUGGUGCAUCUGGGAGGCCUGCUAACUGGCUAACUUCUCCGGCGUUCCUCCCGGCCGAGGCGUGGGCACAGAAUAGCGCAGGUCAGUAUGUACCUCGUUUUGUAUAUUGUCUUGAAACUUUACUCCUUUGUAUGUUUGAAGACAUCAUUUUCCAGUUUUGGAGCCGACUAAUGAACUAGUUCUUAAGUGAAAGGCAUUUAACACGACUGUGCAUCUACAGGUACUAGGUUUCCAAGAUGCCUUUCCAGACUAAAACCCACACAUGUGAGCCGCUGGCCGGACAAACAUCUGGCACCUAACGUGGGGCUGAAAAACAGCAGAGGACAUUUGGAAGAAACACUGCUGGUUUGGAGCUCCAUAGAAGAAGAAAAUAAUUAAAGGAAAUUCAUACCAGAGAAGGUCAGUAUGGGCUAAGCUGAAACAGCGUUUAACCUGAGCGCUAAUUCGCUUAGGUUCAGCAGUGAGGCAUCUCAGGAGCUAGGAACGUAACAGGCGGUUAGCCAUAGCUCCCAGAAGCUACAUUUUUAGGCGUGAGAAAAGAAAGGGUUUAUUAAAAGGAAAUUAAUAAUAAGGCGGACUGCAUCAUGCGGGAGGAAAAUGUCCCAAAAAGCAGAGAGAAAUUUCCGGAGUGCCAUGCUUUGUUCUCUCUGGGCUUUACAGCAGAAAUACUCUGCCCCUUUUGUGUCUUGUCUAAUGUCUGGUGCACUGAAAGACCCACAACAUGAGGACUCCCCCACGUUCUGACUCAGGAGAGGCGACACCCCAAACCACUCACAAGAAACGGUCUUGCUGCAAACUGCAAGAGGAUUUUUAUUCAAGAGCGCUCUCAGGCCCACGGUCAUACACCACACAGGGGUAGAGGACUUUCGCGUCCUGAGUUGCUGGGAAAGGGGGUAUUUAAAGGAAGAAACCACAACUCAAGGAAGUGGGGAGGGCGUUGUUGGAAAAUACAAAGAUACCAGUUAAGAGUCCCAAGGAAGUGCAAACUCACAAGAGUCACAAGGAAUACCUGGAAAUUUUGCAGGUUAUCUCUCAAGACAGUUUCUAAGAGGCCCUAACAAUAGCACAUUUGCAUAGUGGGUUCCGCCAAUGGUCAGGGUGACUUUCUUUGAAUGAACACUCUUUGAACCCAGGAAGCAGGUGGGUAGAGGAAUGUCACUAUCUGUUUUAUGAUUAGCAUACCUUGGAGCAUUAAGUCACAGAGGUCACAUUCCCAAGCCUGGGCCUAAAGGCCUAGAAUUUUGUUUUUAUGUUAUACUUUCAGCACCAAUCUGUUCACAUGUUCAAUUCAUGUAUGUUUGUGUCCAGUCUGUAUGAAUGAAUGUUCUAUGUUUUAUGUUGGAUAAUAAAGAUGGCAAAAAAAAUAAAAAACUUUAUCUGCAAAGCCGAGAGCUGCCACGUGCUACAACCAGGACUGUAGAAUACAGUUUGGAAACAUGAUCUUCACCCCAGUGUUUCUAGACCUUGCUGUCUAUGAAGCUCUCAAAUCCCACCUGAUAGUGUCUACUCAACAAUGAAGAGCUUCAUCAUCAUCGUCAUUGUUGUUCCACCUCCAAGGCUAGAAUUUUCUUCUUCCACCAUUGAAGGUCUCAAAUACCUGCUCGACACCCUCCUCUUAUGACAUAAAGCCUUCACUGUUACUAGAAGCUGCAGCUCCUCUCCUCUGGAUCUUUAUGACCACACCAGGAAGCAUUGUGAUCUGCAGUCACUGCCAACCUGCAGGAUAACACAGCUUGUUCCUCUGGGAACUGCCCUGCAGUGUCUGCAUACAGCCACCCUCGACCUGUCUGCCUGGUCUUUGCAACCUCUAGUGGCUGUUGUUCCACAAUGUGUUGUGAAGGCAUGCAUGUAAAAUAGUCCCUAUCUGGAUGGACCUACGCCUGUGGCAGGAAGUUCACUGGUCAAUUACCUGCUGACUGAAGUGGCCUAUUUUCUUCUGACCCCCUGC
rnacentral:lncRNA from 1 species